rnacentral:rRNA from 1 species
AUGCUGGAGGUAUCAGAAGUGCGAAUGCUGACAUAAGUAACGAUAAAGCGGGUGAAAAGCCCGCUCGCCGGAAGACCAAGGGUUCCUGUCCAACGUUAAUCGGGGCAGGGUGAGUCGACCCCUAAGGCGAGGCCGAAAGGCGUAGUCGAUGGGAAACAGGUUAAUAUUCCUGUACUUGGUGUUACUGCGAAGGGGGGACGGAGAAGGCUAUGUUGGCCGGGCGACGGUUGUCCCGGUUUAAGCGUGUAGGCUGGUUUUCCAGGCAAAUCCGGAAAAUCAAGGCUGAGGCGUGAUGACGAGGCACUACGGUGCUGAAGCAACAAAUGCCCUGCUUCCAGGAAAAGCCUCUAAGCAUCAGGUAACAUCAAAUCGUACCCCAAACCGACACAGGUGGUCAGGUAGAGAAUACCAAGGCGCUUGAGAGAACUCGGGUGAAGGAACUAGGCAAAAUGGUGCCGUAACUUCGGGAGAAGGCACGCUGAUAUGUAGGUGAAGUCCCUCGCGGAUGGAGCUGAAAUCAGUCGAAGAUACCAGCUGGCUGCAACUGUUUAUUAAAAACACAGCACUGUGCAAACACGAAAGUGGACGUAUACGGUGUGACGCCUGCCCGGUGCCGGAAGGUUAAUUGAUGGGGUUAGC